rnacentral:rRNA from 1 species
UUAGUGGCGAACGGGUGAGUAACACGUGGGCAAUCUGCCCUUCACUCUGGGACAAGCCCUGGAAACGGGGUCUAAUACCGGAUAACACUCUGUCCCGCAUGGGACGGGGUUGAAAGCUCCGGCGGUGAAGGAUGAGCCCGCGGCCUAUCAGCUUGUUGGUGGGGUGAUGGCCUACCAAGGCGACGACGGGUAGCCGGCCUGAGAGGGCGACCGGCCACACUGGGACUGAGACACGGCCCAGACUCCUACGGGAGGCAGCAGUGGGGAAUAUUGCACAAUGGGCGAAAGCCUGAUGCAGCGACGCCGCGUGAGGGAUGACGGCCUUCGGGUUGUAAACCUCUUUCAGCAGGGAAGAAGCGAGAGUGACGGUACCUGCAGAAGAAGCGCCGGCUAACUACGUGCCAGCAGCCGCGGUAAUACGUAGGGCGCAAGCGUUGUCCGGAAUUAUUGGGCGUAAAGAGCUCGUAGGCGGCUUGUUGCGUCGGUUGUGAAAGCCCGGGGCUUAACCCCGGGUCUGCAGUCGAUACGGGCAGGCUAGAGUGUGGUAGGGGAGAUCGGAAUUCCUGGUGUAGCGGUGAAAUGCGCAGAUAUCAGGAGGAACACCGGUGGCGAAGGCGGAUCUCUGGGCCAUUACUGACGCU